GACGAACCGUGCGAACGUUGUUCGGAAUCACUGGGCUUGAAGGGCGCGUAGGCGGCUUGCCAAGUCAGGGGUGAAAUCCAGCAGCUUAACUGUUGAAGUGCCUUUGAUACUGGCGAGCUCGAGGGAGGUAGGGGUCUGUGGAACUUCUGGUGGAGCGGUGAAAUGCGUUGAUAUCAGAAGGAACGCCGGUGGCGAAAGCGACGGACUGGACCUCUUCUGACGCUGAGGCGCGAAAGCUAGGGGAGCAAACGGG
rnacentral:rRNA from 1 species